GUAACCACGGUGGGAGAGGAGAUGCUAUAUAAUCCGUGCUUGUCGAAAGAUGAAGAAACUUUCAUAAGCAUCAUGCAAAAUCUUAACUUGGCAUACCCUAAGAUGAUUGAUGUUGCAGUGCCAGCAAAUUUGGUUUGUGGGUUGCAAGAUUUGGAAUCUAAAGCCAACCAAGACUUUACGGGACCGUCCAUAGGUGCACAGAUUUUAUUUGUAGUAUGAUUCUGGAUCACGAUAUCAGUGGAUAUACUAAAUAAAUGGCUUUGCAUGCUACUUGACUGCAAAGAAUC